rnacentral:lncRNA from 1 species
CCCCUAAGCUCCGCCCACUCCCCGCCCCUGAGGUCCAUCUGGGGCCUCGCCCGGCGAUCUGGGACUGGGGAGGACCCUGCUGACUUCCAGGCAGGUGGAAACUGGAUUGAUAGAAAUCCAGCGCGGGGAGGCUGUGCUGAGAGGAGGGACGCCCCUGCCCUGCGCCUCCCGCUCCCCAUCUCUGGCUGGUAUCCCGGUUACAGAAUGAGGGUCCGUGGUGCAACAGAAAGAAUGAGCCACUGAUACACUCAUCAGCUUGCUCGGAUCUCCCGGGGAGUUACGCUGGUGAGAGAAACCAGUCCCAAAGGUCACUCACCGACGGCGCCGCUGGUGUACUGGUAUUAUGCAAGAUGCCCUCGCAAAGGUCACGCACGGAUGGUUCAUUUAUCCAAAGACCAAAGGAGAGAAAUGCAGGACUCAUUAGCAGUGCCCAGGAGAUAGGGGGGCGGGUGGGUGUGGCUAUAAAAACGCAACCCGGGGGGUGCCUGUGAAGGAAAUCUGCGUCCCGCGGAACGCAACACGCUGUUGGGAUACUGGAUUGUCCUUUGUGAGAUGCCACUAUCGGGGGAAACCGGAUGGCUUCACAGAAAAAGUUCGUUUAAAGGAAAAUGGUUUAAGGCCAAGGAAAUACCUAGAAAACGGAAAGUCUUGAAACCAGAGCCGGAAAAAGAAUGCCUGUGUUUCGAAGUUCCUUCUUAGGACGAAACCAGCUGAAGCUGGCGAAAUCCAAGAUGGCGCCUCUGAAGAGCCUCUGGCUUUAUCAUCAUCCUGUUCUCAUGCUAAACAACAUGUCGCCAUGACAACGACUGGAAGAGACCAAGAAGGGACAGAAAAAAAGGGGUUUCUUGAUUCCGGGAAAAAUCUCCGUUCUUUCCCAAGGAAAGCACGAAUAUUCCCCCCCGUGCUCUUAAUGCCCAGCCCCUUCAUUAAAGACACCCUACCUCUGAAACUUCCCAGCUCUCACAAGCUAAGUUGAUUUCAGAUCUUCCAAUUCCAUAGCCAUUGAAUACAGCCUGCACUGCUUGACACACUCCCUUUCGGUUUCGUGCAUUGGCCUCACCACGCAACAGGAAACAACCCUUUUUGGGAUAACCGGGACUCCCGGUAACAUUUCCAUAUAUACAUAUCUUAAUGUAUGCAAGGGCGUCUGGGGGAGAAAGAAGCAGCACAUUUCAUUCUUUGCUUUCUAUAAUACUGGAUUGCUUGAGUUUGUGACACAUGUUAACAUUUGCAACAUUUUUAAACUAAAUUGUAUGUAUUAUAGAACAGUCCUCUGCGCUGAGCUUGGACUUAAAGUGGAAAGGCUUACAUUUGCAGAAUUAAAAAAAGCAUCGAAACA